ACCCGUAAAGCAAAAGCGAAGCCAGCAGAAAGACCAAAACCAAGCCAAGACCGCCGGCCGCGUCCCCCGACCACCGCCGGCACCACAGCCCUCGGCGCGCGCGCGUGGGGAUCGAUCCGUCCGUCCCCCGGAACCCCGGCAGUAGUCCCCGCCGCGUCCGCGCUGACCGGGGCCCCGUCGAUCCGGCCGCCGCGUGGGGUUUGGUUUGGGCUCUGGGUUGGUCCCUCCCCAAGGAUCCAUUUUUAGCUGGAUUCCCGGGUCCCUCCGCGGGGCUACUAGAUUCCCGGUGGGGAGGGUAGGGGGAUGGAUUUGGCGUCGGUCAACGAGGCGCUCGCCGAGAUCGACGGGCAGAUCGCCGACAUCUUCCGCGCAUUGCAAAAUGGGUUCCAGAAGCUCGACAAGAUCAAGGAUGCCAACCGCCGGAGCAGGCAGCUUGAAGAGCUCACCGACAAGAUGCGAGAUUGCAAAAGGCUUAUCAAAGACUUUGAACGAGUUGUCAAAGAUGAGGCGGGCAGUGUUGACCCCAACACUGCUAAAUUUCUGAACGAGAGAAAGCAGUCACUGAUCAAGGAAUUGAACUCUUAUGUUGCUCUGAAGAAACAACAUGCAAGUGAAAAUAAGCGAGUUGAUCUUUUUGAUGCUCCAAGUGGUGAAGAUGCCUUUGGUGAAGAAAAUGUCCUGUUAGCAUCAAAUAUGUCAAACCAGCAGCUAAUGCAGCAUGGAGACAAUCUAAUGGAUGAGACUGAUCAAGCUCUCGCACGAUCUAAACAGACUGUCCAAGAGACGAUCAAUGUGGGUACAGAAACUGCAGCUGCUCUCAAAGCACAGACAGAGCAAAUGAGCAGGGUUGUUAAUGAGCUGGAUUCCAUUCAUUUCUCCAUGAAAAAGGCAUCAAAAUUGGUGAAAGAAAUUGGUAGGCAGGUUGCAACUGACCGCUGCAUCAUGGCAUUGCUUUUUCUCAUUGUCGCUGGAGUCAUAGCUGUAAUAAUUGUUAAGAUUGUGAACCCGCACAACAAGGACAUUCCCAACAUCCCCGGGCUCGCUCCACCGGUCAGCAGAAGGCUGUUGUCCAUUGUAGAGGGCAAGUGAGUAUCCACACAACACAAGGGUCUUGCUGCCGGUGCAGCCGCGUUCAUACUUGCCGCGAAGAAGAGAGCACUGUGUUCAACCGGUGGGGUCUGAAAUGUGCAUUCUGACGGUGACUUGGCUGAGAUAGAGGGGCACAAGCAGUGGCUCGCCGAGGUGCAGUUCCUGGGCGUGCUGGAGCACCCGAACCUGGUGAAGCUCGUCGGCUACUGCGCGGUGGACUCGGAGGCGGGGAAGCACAGGCUGCUGGUGUACGAGUUCAUGCCCAACAAGACCCUGGACGACCACCUCUUCAGCCGCGCCCACCCGCCGCUCCCCUGGAGGACGAGGCUGCAGAUCAUGGCCGGCGCCGCGCGCGGCCUCGACUACCUCCACCGAGGCCUCCCGGAAGUCCAGGUGAUAUACAGGGACUUCAAGGCGUCGAACGUGCUCCUGGACGGCGAGUUCCGGCCGAAGCUGUCGGACUUCGGGCUGGCGAGGGAGGGGCCGACGGAGGGGCGGACGCACGUGUCGACGGCGGUGGUGGGCACGCACGGCUACGCGGCGCCCGACUACAUCGAGACGGGCCACCUCACGGUGAAGAGCGACGUGUGGGGGUUCGGGGUGGUGCUGUACGAGAUCCUGACGGGGCGGCGGUCGGUGGAGCGCAGCCGGCCGCCGGAGGAGCAAAAGCUGCUGGGGUGGGUGAGCCGGCACCCGCCGGGAGGGGACAGCUUCAGGACCAUCAUGGACCCGCGGCUGGGCGGGCGGUACCCGCUGGCCGCCGCGCGCGACGCGGCGAGGCUCGCGGACCGGUGCCUCGGCAAGAACCCCAAGGAGCGGCCGGAGAUGGCGGAGGUCGUGGAGGAGCUCGAGCGGGUGCUGCAGAUGGAGCCGCCGCCGCCCCCGGCUCCGGCCACGCCCAGGAGGUGAUCGAUCAUUCGAUCGACGAAGACCGGCAGAAUACUGGUAGUAUUAGUCAGAAUCAGUGAGGACUCGCAGUCUCUCUGCUGCAUCCGCAAGUGCACUCGAUGGAUGCUGACCGAGUGAGAGCUGUAUACAUAUCUCAGGAGACACGAAGGUGUAUCGGUGCGACCGAUUAAGGUGCUAUUGCAUUUGGUUAUGCACCAUUGCCGCUACCCACGAUCAAGGUGAAUGCAACUUCAUGCACCUGAA